AUGAUCAUGCUCUUUAAUCAGCUCUUGAUAUUCCAAACCUGUCAGGUGGAUGGAUUAUCUUGUCAAAGGAGAUGGGAUGUAAACAAACAGGGAUGUAAACAAAUUUGUGCACAUUUUUUUUUGUUGGUGCGUAUGGAACAUUUCUGGGAUUUUUUAUUUCAGCUCAUGAAACAUGAGACCAACAUUUUACAUGUUGCGUUUAUAUUUUUGUUAAGUGUUAGUAGAUUGUCCCUGCUAUCACUGCGGAACACUGUUGAGAUAUUAUGCUCUCUGUCUCCCUCUGUCUGCCAGGUGGCCCUUGAAAUGACAGGAUUGAGCGCUGUGUUUCCGCAGGGCUACUACUCCUACAUCUGUGUCCAGAUCAGUGUCACGCCUCUGGAUCCUAGCUAAUUUGAUGAUCUUCAAUGACUACAAGCAAGCAACCUUUUUCAGAUGUUGAGAAUCCAUUUCUAGAUAUGAUCUACAGACCAAAGAAAAUAUAUGUACUGCUGAUCCUUGAUUUGGCCCCACUUGGCCUACAUGGUAUUAUGUGACCAUAUGAAUGUAUACAAAAUCUAUUGCAGGUCGGGACCAAUGAUAUGCAACAGAAAAUACAUCCAUGUUGUGCCUACAGAAUUCACCCUCAAAGUGUGGACUAAACUUCCAAGUCAACAGCAACAGUUCUAUUUCUUGCGCCCAAUCCGAAAUCCACCCAGUUCUGGACUCAAUCUGAGAGGAUUGAUAUGAAGCUAAAUCCUCAUGGGAUUUGGGAUGUGAUUCUGAGGUAUUGCUGACUGUGGAUCUGUGAUGUCGUAAUACUGAUCUUUUUGCCUCACAAAAACGUCACAUUUUUUUACCUUUAUUUAACCAGGCAAGUCAGUUAAGAACACAUUUUUAUUUUCAGUGACUGCCUGUUCAGGGGCAAAACCUUGUCAGCUCUGGGGUUUGAACUCACAACCUUCCGGUUACUAGUCCAACGCUCUAACCACUAGGCUACCCUGCUGCCCCACAUGUUUUUACACUUUGUGACUGCAAUAGAAGUUUUUGUAUGGUAAAUGUGAUGUUGUCACGCCCUGACCGUAGAGAGCCUUUUAAUGUCUCUAUUUGGUUUGGUUUGGUCAGGGUGUGAUUUGGGGUUGGCAUUCUAUGUUUCGUUUUCUAUGAUUUGGUGUUUCUAUGUUUUGGCCGGGUAUGGUUCUCAAUCAGGGACAGCUGUCUAUCGUUGUCUCUGAUUGGGAACCAUACUUAGGUAGCCCUUUUUCCCUCCUUUCUAUGUGGGAAGUAUACUUUGGUUAGGGCACAUAGCCUUUAGCUUCACGGUUUGUUUUGUAGUGUUUAUUGUUUUGUUCAGCGUCUUUUUUUCUAAAUAAAGGAAUAUGUACGCUCACCACCCUGCACCUUAGUCCUCCUUAUUCAACAGCCGUGACAGAUGUCCUUGUGUUAUCUAUAAUUGUUCAUGCUGAACAUGUACAGGUAACUGACAAAAUAAUGGAAACACGAGUAGGCCUAAAUGAGGGACACAAACUAUAUUGAAAGCAGGUGCCUCCACACAGCUAUGGUUCCAGUUGAUUAAGCAGCUAAAAUCCCAUCAUGCUUAGGGUUAUGAAUAAAAAUUCUGGGCAGGCCAUUUUUUGCCAUUAUUUUGGCUACCAUAGGAUGACAAUGCCCCCAUCCACAGGGAACAAAUGGUAACUGAAUGGUUUGAUGAGCAUGAUGCCAUGGCCAUCUCAGUCACCAGAUCUCGACUCAAUGUAACACUUAUGGGAGAUUCUGGAGCAGCGCCAUCACCAACACACCAUCAACCAAACACAAUUUGUGGAAGAAUUGUGUCACAUCCCUCCAAUAGAGUUUCAGACACUUGUAGAAUCUAUGCCAAGGAGCGUUGAAUCUGUUGUGGCUCGCGGUGGCCCGAUGCCCUAUUAAGACACUUUAUGUUGGUAUAUAGGAAAAUGCCCUUUGUCAGUUGUGGAAAGAUGAGAUCGGUUUAGCACCUGAGCACGAGAUAUCACCGUACAUUUAAUCUGACCCACUGGACUGGAAUCUUACAGUAUGUCAGAGCGUCUCAAAUUGUGCAAUUGUAUCUGUUAGCAGAGAGCGUCCUAACUCAGUUUUCUGGAGACGUGUGUAAUUGCGAAGCUGUCCCGUUAUCAAAAGGGAAACAGCAGAUAUUGAUGUAAUUUAGUGGUUAUGCUUUGACAUUACCUCUGACAAUAACUUCGUAUUCAUUUCCCUGACUACGUUUUUUUAUUUUCCUAUGUGUUGUCAAGACAUAUGUAUUGUAGUGUGCCAUGCGCUCACCAACAAGUUCUGCAUCAAUUCCCACUCACACAGCGACGAUUCUAGCAUGUAAAUCUUGGUGGGGCAAAAAAUACUAAUAAUAAUAUGCAUGCCAGCAAAGCCACUACACAACACUGAACAAUACAUGAAUUGCACCAUAACGGUGACAAACGGUGCCCACAAACUGUUAGGGACUACAUAAAGCUGUCCCAACAGCAGUCCCAACACAUUACCACUGCUACACCUGGCUAUCAGCGGAGCCUCUUGCAGCGAAACAGUUCAUUCAGCCUCAUUUUCUGUCUUUUAAAAAAAACAUAGCUGGUAUGUGUAACGAAUGUCGUCGAGAGAAGGAGAAGAGGACCAAGGUGCAGCGUGGUAAGUAUUCAUCAUGCGUUUAAUAAAUACGAACACUUGAACAAAAUGUCAUGGUCUUCCUCUUCUUCAGAUGAAGAGGAGAAGCGAGAAGGAUCGGAGGACCAAAAUGCGAAAUGGUAUGUGUUCAUGAUGAAUAUUUAAUUAAGAAAGUACUGAACACUGAAUACAAAAACAAUAAACCAAUAACGACCGUGAAGCUAUAAAUGAGACCUGUGCUGACACAAGCAACUAACAUAGACAAUCACCCACAAACAAACAGUGCAACCCAGGCUACCUAAGUAUGAUUCUCAAUCAGAGACAACUAAUGACACCUGCCUCGGAUUGAGAACCAUACUAGGCCGAAACAUACAAAUCCCCAAAUCAUAGAAAAACAAACAUAGACUGCCCACCCCAACUCACGCCCUGACCAUACUAAAUAAAUACAAAACAAAGGAAAUAAAGGUCAGAACGUGACACAAAAACAACAAACGAACAGUUCUGCAAGGUGCAAUACACAAAACAGAAAACAACUACCCACAAACCAUAGUGGGAAAACAGGCUGCCUAAGUAUGGUUCUCAAUCAGAGACAAUGAUUGACAGCUGCCUCUGAUUGGGAACCAUACCAGGCCAAACACCUAGAAAUAUAACACACAGAAUCAAAACAUAGAAUGCCCACCCCAACUCACGCCCCGACCAAACUAAAAUAGAGACAUAAAAAAGGAACUAAGGUAAGGACGUGACUUGGUUAAACAAACGUGGUUUCUACUGACAAUUGAGAUGUGGUGGUUAAUUUCUUUACCAUCAAAUGCAGAGAGACAAACUUAUCACACAAGUCAGAGUUAUACUUAAACUACAUUUUUAUUCACUUAUUAAUAAGGGUGCAGAUCAAUACAACACACACAUAUAAAGUGAAUCGAUUGAGUGCUCUACAAUAAUGAAGGCUGGUCGAAGAAUCACCCUCAGAUGAUUCGUUGAGAGCCCCGAAACCAAAGUAUUGUAAUGAAACUGGCAAGGAGCAGGUCUCGAACCCUCGACCUUCUAGCCCGACUGUGCCGCAAAAGCAUGCUCGUGCGGCAGAGUAGAUAUCCACGCUUAUAAACCCAGGGUCGUUACACUACUCCCUCCUUUCAAAGAGCGCGUCCUCGCGCUAGCUUGCAACUCAAAGUCUUAUAGGUACGCGCUCACCGGUCAAGCACACGCACUGUCGUGGAUGCAAGGUCCGAUCACUUCUGACACCAAUGUAAUGAAACAGGUAAGGAGCAGGUCUCGAACCCUCAACCUUCUAGCCCAAAGUCCAGCGCGCUAUCGACUGGAAAGCAAAAGCAUGCUCGUGCGGCAGAGUAGAUUUCCGCGCUAACUGAAACCUGCUCCUUGUUUUGAGGCUAAGUGGAAUGUUACAAUGUAAUAAUCACCUGUUAUAUGUUUACACUUCAAGUGUUACGAUUGUAACGUUUCCACUUCUAAUCUCCAGAAAACAAAGAGACCAUGUAUGUAUGUGGCUUUAUUAACUAAAUUAUAAUGUUUUUUUUUUUUACAUUGUUUGCAAACUGAUAUGUGACACGUAUUAUUGUCAAAAUAGCAUGCAAAACAGGUACGUGUGACACGUAUUAUUGUCAAAAUAGCAUGCAAAACAGGUAGCCCCAACUGCCCUUAAUGACGGGUCGCCACUGUACUCACAUCAUAUCACCUCACUUCAACCAUACGGAAUAAUUGUGUUAAUUGCCCAUACCGGUUUGGUAAAUUCAAAACUUCAAGCAGAGUAAUAUCCACCCACAGAGGAUAUCCGCCCACAGAGCUCAGAGGCGCAGCAGCAGUGUGUCAGUGUGAGUGUGUGUGUGAGAGAGAAAAAGCGCGAGAGAGAGAGAGAGGAGAAAGGAGAGACAGAGAGAGAGAUUACUUAAUUGCUGCUUUGGUAACGGGAGAGCACGGAGCGAGGUUUUGCGCAAUGGCUUUCCUCCUUUUUAAAAUUAGUAUACUUUAUAGGCUACCUGCACUUUAAACUGUUCAUGUACAUGAAACACAAGUCUGUUGAUUGCAUUUCGACAUUUUCGACGCCAAAAAU
rnacentral:lncRNA from 1 species